rnacentral:misc_RNA from 1 species
GAUGAAGAACGUAGUGAAAUGCGAUACUUGGUGUGAAUUGCAGAAUCCCGUGAACCAUCGAGUCUUUGUACGCAAGUUGCGCCCGAAGCCAUCAGGUUGAGGGCACGUCUGCCUGGGCGUCACAUAUCGUUGCCCAAUGCCUAUUGCAGUGCAAUAGGAAUUUCUAGGGCGAAUGAUGGCUUCCCGUGAGCGUUGUUGCCUCGCGGUUGGUUGAAAAUCGAGUCCUUGGUAGGGUGUGCCAUGGUAGAUGGUGGUCGAGUUAGAACGAUACCGAUCAUGUGCAUGCUCCCCAAAAUAUGGCCUCUAUGACCCACACGCGUCUUUUGACGCUCAUGACGAGACCUCAGGUCAGGCGGGGCUACCCGCUGAAUUUAAGCAUAUCAAUAAGCGGAGGA